ACGGGCUCUUCGGAGCUAGUGGCGGACGGGUGAGUAACGCGUGAGGAUCUGCCCUUAGGACGGGGACAACAGCUGGAAACGGCUGCUAAUACCCGAUGUGCCGAGAGGUGAAACUAUUUGGCCUGAGGAUGAGCUCGCGUCUGAUUAGCUAGUUGGAGUGGUAACGGCACACCAAGGCGACGAUCAGUAGCUGGUCUGAGAGGAUGAUCAGCCACACUGGGACUGAGACACGGCCCAGACUCCUACGGGAGGCAGCAGUGGGGAAUUUUCCGCAAUGGGCGAAAGCCUGACGGAGCAAGACCGCGUGCGGGAGGAAGGUCUAUUGACUGUAAACCGCUUUUGAUAGGGAAGAAGAUCUGACGGUACCUAUCGAAUCAGCAUCGGCUAACUCCGUGCCAGCAGCCGCGGUAAUACGGGGGAUGCAAGCGUUAUCCGGAAUUAUUGGGCGUAAAGCGUCCGUAGGUGGUUUUAAAAGUCUGUUGUCAAAUCGCGAGGCUUAACCUCGUACAGGCAGUGGAAACUAUAAGACUAGAGUGCGGUAGGGGUAGAGGGAAUUUCCAGUGUAGCGGUGAAAUGCGUAGAUAUUGGAAAGAACACCGGUGGCGAAGGCGCUCUACUGGGCCUGCACUGACACUGAGGGACGAAAGCUAGGGGAGCGAAAGGGAUUAGAUACCCCUGUAGUCCUAGCCGUAAACGAUGGAAACUAGGUGUUGCCCGUAUCGACCCGAGCCGUGCCGAAGC
rnacentral:rRNA from 1 species